UAUAUCUCAUAUUCUCCAGAUUAUGUAUAUAUUAUUAUAUUCUCUCAUAUUCUGGAGAAUUUUUAUAAGCAUAAAAAUCAGAUACAAGGGAAGAAAAUGUAAGAGAACCAUGUAAAACAAAUUGUAAAUGUUAGUUUCAUGGUCAUAUUUUGCAUUUUGAAUGCUUGCAUGUGCUUUCCCAUCUUCACAUUAAUCAAUCCUAGGUUAUAUAGUUUUAGCCAUUUGACAGUUAUUUUAAAAGUGUGUUAUUCCCUUCUAUUCAUAGGUUACACAAUGUUAUCACCUUUAAACCAAUGGAAAGCUGUGUUUUACCUGUUGCAUCAAUUCAUGCAGCUACCAAAGACAAGAAAAUUUUGUGCAUUCAUAGUAAUCAGUCUUUAAAAAUUCUACUCAUGAAUAUUAUAGUGGAAUUUUCAUAAAAAAUACAAAUAUUUGUAGGACUAAUGCACGGAUUAGCUCAAAUGUUAUACUUAAGUCUUAUCAACAUGUAGAAAAAUUCUCUAAAUAAGCUGGGACACAGGUGACUGCUAAGGUGACUGCUGAGGUGAGUAUAUAAGGUGAGUGCAUUAAACAUGGACGCUCUUGUGUCUUCUUCCAGAAUUGUGAAUGAUGACACCAUUUCCCUACAAUCCUUUGUGUGGGAUCAUCCACUCUUUCAUAGGACUAAACUAAAGAGGGGAAUAAGUCACCUUACUGGCACUUCAUCAGAGACUUGAAGCACUUAUUUACUCUCUGUGUAGAGGAAAAGAUGUCAUGACUGCCUCCCCAGGAACCAGAACACAUUCAGCCACAAGGCAUGCAUAGAAUCUUAAACUGCCAUUUUUUGUAUUCACCAAAUAAAAUAUUUUUUGAAUUCUGUUAAAAAGAUAAAACAUCCUCUGUGAACAAAUGUAUAUGGAACAUAUCUUUUACAAAAGUUAAUGCAUGGUUAUUAUGUGUUUGCUAAAUUUAAUUGAUC